UACGGAGGGGGGCUAGCGUUGUUCGGAAUUACUGGGCGUAAAGCGCACGUAGGCGGCUUUGUAAAGUUAGAGGUGAAAAGCCCGGGGCUCAACUCCGGAAUUGCCUUUAAGACUGCAUCGCUAGAAUUGUGGAGAGGUAAGUGGAAUUCCGAGUGUAGAGGUGAAAAUUCGUAGAUAUUCGGAAGAACACCAGUGGCGAAGGCGACUUACUGGACACAUAUUGACGCUGAGGUGCGAAAGCGUGGGGAGCAAACAGG
rnacentral:rRNA from 1 species